rnacentral:rRNA from 1 species
GACGAACGCUGGCGGCGUGCUUAACACAUGCAAGUCGAACGGAAAGGCCCUGCUUUUGUGGGGUGCUCGAGUGGCGAACGGGUGAGUAACACGUGAGUAACCUGCCCUUGACUUUGGGAUAACUUCAGGAAACUGGGGCUAAUACCGGAUAGGAGCUCCUGCUGCAUGGUGGGGGUUGGAAAGUUUCGGCGGUUGGGGAUGGACUCGCGGCUUAUCAGCUUGUUGGUGGGGUAGUGGCUUACCAAGGCUUUGACGGGUAGCCGACCUGAGAGGGUGACCGGCCACAUUGGGACUGAGAUACGGCCCAGUCUCCUACGGGAGGCAGCAGUGGGGAAUAUUGCACAAUGGGCGGAAGCCUGAUGCAGCGGCGCCGCGGGCGGGAUGACGGCCUUCGGGUUGUAAACCGCUUUCGCCUGUGACGAAGCGUGAGUGACGGUAAUGGGUAAAGAAGCACCGGCUAACUACGUG